AGUGAACGCUGGCGGUAGGCCUAACACAUGCAAGUCGAACGGCAGCACAGUAAGAGCUUGCUCUUACGGGUGGCGAGUGGCGGACGGGUGAGGAAUACAUCGGAAUCUACUUUUUCGUGGGGGCUAACGUAGGGAAACUUACGCUAAUACCGCAUACGUCGUACGGGUGAAAGCAGGGGAUCUUCGGACCUUGCGGGAUUGAAUGAGCCAAUGUCGGAUUAGCUAGUUAGCGGGGUAAAGGCCCACCAAGGCGACGCUCCGUAGCUGGUCUGAGCGGAUGAACAGCCACACUGGAACAGAGACACAGUCCAGACUCUUACAGUGGGCAGCGGUCGAGAAUAUUGGACAAUGGGCGAAAGCCUGAUCCAGCCAUACCGCGUGGGUGAUGAAGGCCUUCGGGUUGUAAAGCCCUUUUGUUGGGAAAGAAAAGAAGCAGGUUAAUCCCCCGCUGUUCUGACGGUACCCAAAGAAUAAGCACCGGCUAACUUCGUG
rnacentral:rRNA from 1 species